rnacentral:misc_RNA from 1 species
AGAGAAUAAUUUCAAUCCUUUUCAAAGUAGGAUUAGGCCAUGGGCCUUUGGCUGGAACUUGGGCAAUAGCCCAACAUGGAAAUGGAACCCAAAUGGGCUCAGAGGGAGUUUCACAUACACAACAUAAAAUGACUAUAUUAGCCGAAGAAUAUAAGUGAAAUAAGACAAUAAAUAAACAAAAAUAAAAAGGUAGAAACACAAAUAAAGAAGUAAAA